rnacentral:rRNA from 1 species
GAUGAACGCUAGCGGCAGGCUUAACACAUGCAAGUCGAGGGGCAGCAUGAUUGAACUUUCGGGUUCGGUUGAUGGCGACCGGCGCAAGGGUGCGUAACGCGUGAGCAACUUGCCCGUUUCAGGGGGAUAACCGGUGGAAACGCCGACUAAUACCCCAUGGCAUCAUAUUGAGGCAUCUUUAUAUGAUUAAAGAAUUUCGGAAACGGAUAGGCUCGCGUGACAUUAGCUAGAUGGCGGGGUAACGGCCCACCAUGGCGACGAUGUCUAGGGGUUCUGAGAGGAAGGUCCCCCANACUGGAACUGAGACACGGUCCAGACUCCUACGGGAGGCAGCAGUGAGGAAUAUUGGUCAAUGGUCGAAGGACUGAACCAGCCAUGCCGCGUGAAGGUGACGGCCCUAUGGGUCUUAAACUUCUUUUGUAAGGGAGCAAUAAGGUCUACGUGUAGGCUGAUGAGAGUACCUUACGAAUAAGCAUCGGCUAACUCCGUGCCCAGCA